rnacentral:rRNA from 1 species
GACGAACGCUGGCGGCGUGCUUAACACAUGCAAGUCGAACGGUGAAGCGCUUGCCUUUUUGGUGGGUGUGGAUGAGUGGCGAACGGGUGAGUAACACGUGAGUAACCUGCCCUCUUCUUCUGGAUAACCUCAUGAAAGUGGGGCUAAUACGGGGUAUUCCUGGUCUGUCGCAUGGCGGGUUUGGGAAAGAUUGCGCCUUUGGGUGUUUUCGGUGGGGGAUGGGCUCGCGGCCUAUCAGCUUGUUGGUGGGGUGAUGGCCUACCAAGGCGGUGACGGGUAGCCGGCCUGAGAGGGUGGACGGCCACACUGGGACUGAGACACGGCCCAGACUCCUGCGGGAGGCAGCAGUGGGGAAUAUUGCACAAUGGGCGCAAGCCUGAUGCAGCGACGCCGCGUGAGGGAUGGAGGCCUUCGGGUUGUGAACCUCUUUCGCCAGUGAAGCAGGCCUGCCUCGUUUGUGGGUGGGUUGACGGUAGCUGGAUAAGAAGCGCCGGCUAACUACGUG